UUUAGCCCAGUUAUCUUGUUUUUUCUAAAUAUUGAUAUUAUUUAAAAGAAAUUGUAGUAAGUUGAUAUUUUCAAAAGUGCAUUUUUCAGAGCACUAACCCUUGCCUACAUGCUUGAAAAAAUAAAUUUCCAAAAUCGAAUGUUUUAUAAAACAUGUACUUUUAUUUACCUUUCUUAGAGCUUCAUAGUUUACAUUGGUGUAUAAAGGUUCUGAGAAAUUCUGUGAUAAACUUGUUUAACUUUGCUUAUCUGACUAGUUCCCAUAUUUAUUUAACUAUGGGAACCUCUUUUUGCAUAACAUCUACUAAUAUGCCCGGGACCUAGUGUUUCACAGAACACAGGUAAGUAACUGUUAUGGGAGACAUUAUAAAUUGCUUUAAAAGAGACAUUUUUAGCAUUCCUGAUAUCUAUAGCAAAACAAUUUUAGUUUCACUAUAUUUAGGAAUCCCCAGAGGAGGAUUUUAUGUAUCACAGAUGACUGCUAUCACCACAACCGUCUUGGCCAAGCUACUCCUGGCUACCCAGCUUACUACCUCUUGCUUUCUCUUAACUGAUUUCUCCAGGAUUCUCCUCUUGAUUUUACCACUUCUCUUCUGAGGAUUCUCCAAUAAUUUCCCAAAGAAUGAAAAAUAAAAUAGUGUUUACUAAAACAUUUCUGAUAACUUGGAGAUAACAGGUGUAUUACAUAGAUUCCCUCACACUGGCUUCUAAAUGUAACUGAUGGGCCCACAGUGCAGUAGAC
rnacentral:lncRNA from 1 species